GAUGAAGAACGUAGCAAAAUGCGAUAAGUAAUGUGAAUUGCAGAAUUCAGUGAAUCAUCGAAUCUUUGAACACACUUUGCGCCCGCUGGUAUUCCGGCGGGCAUGCCUGUUCGAGCGUCAUUUCAACCCUCAAGCCCCCGGGUUUGGUGUUGGGGAUCGGCUCUGCCUUCUGGCGGUGCCGCCCCCGAAAUACAUUGGCGGUCUCGCUGCAGCCUCCAUUGCGUAGUAGCUAACACCUCGCAACUGGAACGCGGCGCGGCCAUGCCGUAAAACCCCAACUUCUGAAUGUUGACCUCGGAUCAGGUAGGAAUACCCGCUGAACUUAAGCAUAUCAAUAAGCGGAGGA
rnacentral:misc_RNA from 1 species